rnacentral:rRNA from 1 species
CGCCUAUAUGUAGGAAA